ACAGACUGCCGGUCAGUGUCAGCAGGCGGUGGGUUAGGGUCCGCAGGCCCAGACCAGGCCGCCGACACCAAUAAGCUACAAGGAGGAGCUUUACCGCUGCCUGUACUACUACUGCCUGCGCUACUUCCCAGCCUGCGGCGUAGGGCGCAGCAAGGGCCUGACGCUUAGCGAGCAGGCGCUGCGCACCAAGCGGCUGUCGCCUGGAGGGCACGUUCAGGCAGAAGCUCCUCAGUGGCCACAAGUCCGCUAGCUCCGGCUACAGCCCUUGCCGCACACUCGCGUCACCUGAGCCUGUGAUGCCGAAGGACCUGUUCAAAGUAUUUUCUGUAACUCCAACUGUAACUUGGUUCUAGGAGGAGAGAAUCCAUGUUUGGUCAACAGAACUUUUCGCCGCCACUUAAGUUUACUGCUUCAAUAUCUUUUCCUUACUAAUUGAUUGUUAAUUAAGUAGUGUCCAAGUGAGUUAGCCUUUUUAGGGUUGAUUAAUUAAAAGAGCAGCAAGAAUGGCAUUU
rnacentral:lncRNA from 1 species